rnacentral:lncRNA from 1 species
AGCUAGUGGUCUGCAUUUUCUGGGCUGCCGAAGGGAGGAGGAUUAUUUCUGCUGCUAACCGUGUGUGUGAGCUCCAUUUGAGGUAACUUCUGAACUGAAAUUAGUUGGUUAUAGGCAAGUGAGGUCAGCUAUGGACUUGCAUGUGGUGCUUGUGAGGUUAGAUGAGGAAUUGUGACUUAAGAAAUCUGAUUUGGAAAAGAAUUAAAGCUGU